AGUUUGAUCCUGGCUCAGGAUGAACGCUAGCUACAGGCUUAACACAUGCAAGUCGAGGGGCAGCAUGGUCUUAGCUUGCUAAGGCCGAUGGCGACCGGCGCACGGGUGAGUAACACGUAUCCAACCUGCCGUCUACUCUUGGACAGCCUUCUGAAAGGAAGAUUAAUACAAGAUGGCAUCAUGAGUUCACAUGUUCACAUGAUUAAAGGUAUUCCGGUAGACGAUGGGGAUGCGUUCCAUUAGAUAGUAGGCGGGGUAACGGCCCACCUAGUCUUCGAUGGAUAGGGGUUCUGAGAGGAAGGUCCCCCACAUUGGAACUGAGACACGAUCCAAACUCCUACGGGAGGCAGCAGUGAGGAAUAUUGGUCAAUGGGCGCAGGCCUGAACCAGCCAAGUAGCGUGAAGGAUGACUGCCCUAUGGGUUGUAAACUUCUUUUAUAAAGGAAUAAAGUCGGGUAUGUAUACCCGUUUGCAUGUACUUUAUGAAUAAGGAUCGGCUAACUCCGUGCCAGCAGCCGCGGUAAUACGGAGGAUCCGAGCGUUAUCCGGAUUUAUUGGGUUUAAAGGGAGCGUAGAUGGAUGUUUAAGUCAGUUGUGAAAGUUUGCGGCUCAACCGUAAAAUUGCAGUUGAUACUGGAUAUCUUGAGUGCAGUUGAGGCAGGCGGAAUUCGUGGCGUAGCGGUGAAAUGCUUAGAUAUCACGAAGAACUCCGAUUGCGAAGGCAGCCUGCUAAGCUGCAACUGACAUUGAGGCUCGAAAGUGUGGGUAUCAAACAGGAUUAGAUACCCUGGUAGUCCACACGGUAAACGAUGAAUACUCGCUGUUUGCGAUAUACUGCAAGCGGCCAGGCGAAAGCGUUAAGUAUUCCACCUGGGGAGUACGCCGGCAACGGUGAAACUCAAAGGAAUUGACGGGGGCCCGCACAAGCGGAGGAACAUGUGGUUUAAUUCGAUGAUACGCGAGGAACCUUACCCGGGCUUAAAUUGCAGAUGAAUUACGGUGAAAGCCGUAAGCCGCAAGGCAUCUGUGAAGGUGCUGCAUGGUUGUCGUCAGCUCGUGCCGUGAGGUGUCGGCUUAAGUGCCAUAACGAGCGCAACCCUUGUUGUCAGUUACUAACAGGUUCCGCUGAGGACUCUGACAAGACUGCCAUCGUAAGAUGUGAGGAAGGUGG
rnacentral:rRNA from 1 species